CGUGUGAACAGGUGGAUUCAUUGCUAGAAGUAGUUAGCUAGCAGAAUAGUUAGUCAUAUAUGUUUUAUAUUGCGUGCACUUGUGGCAGCCGCACAAUGCUAACGUCAAGGACAAGGUCGAUGACGCUGCUGAGACCCAGGGUGAGGGUGACGACGGUACUAGUCAGCCUUGUUGUAUCCAGAAUCAGGCUCCAAGCGCAACACCAGUGGUUAGGCCCAGUUCAACAGCUGCAGAGGAAGGAGUCAAGAGAGCCAGAGGGAAGCCAGCCCAUCCUUUGAUUAUUUUACACGCCCAAAGUCAGACAACUUGAAAAUGUUUUUUAGUUUCCAUCCACAGCAAAAAUCAGGAAAGACUGUAGUGCAGAAAGUUUUCUUUUACAAAGAUAGCACUGAUCGAAAGUGACUGACAUACAGUGAACAUCACACUAUUGUACUUGUACUGUUCAGUUUGUAUGGCAUUUGCAAAGCCUACAGCAAUGCUUUUAUCACUGGUAUGAAAGAUUGGAAACAUAUCCUCCAAUGUAUAGAGGAACAUGAAAAGGGUGCCAUGCACAGGAAUGGUGCUGAAGCAUACUUUUUAAGGGCCUCCAAAGCAGACAUAGAGAGUUUGUUAAGUGGUAGUCACGUCAACUCACAGAGAGCAGACAGGUGCUGAAGCACGUAGUAGAUAUAGUUAAAGUCAUUGGCAGAAGGGGGCUUAGCAACAGAGGCCAGUCUGAGGCUAACUACACCUCAGAUGACACCAGUACUGAUCAUCGUAAUAUUUUGGAGAUGAUCAUUCUACUCUUCUUUUAUCACACUGCUCUCAAAAAAUACAUUCAACACAGUCAUUACCACAAUUCAACACAUUAUGCAGGAAACAAUUUCAGGUGAAACUGAGAAAGCUAGGAUGUUCUCUGUCGAAAUUGACACAACUCAGGACAUAACCUCUCAAGACCAGUGCUCUGUAAUUCUAAGAAAUGCUAAUGUCAUACACAAGAGGCUUGUGGCUGUUGUGAGGUGUGAGGCAUCUGUUGGAAAGUACUUUGUCCAAUUGGUGAUAGAGGUGGUGGAGAAACUAAAAUUGGACAUGAGCAAGUGCACUGGUAAUGCCACAGACAGAGCUGCCAAUAAGCAAAGCCAAUAUAAAGGUUUUUCUGCUCUGUUGUUGUCAAAGUCGCCCAGUCAAAUACAUGUGGUGCUAUGCACAUGUUCUGAAUCUGGUCUUGGCUGACACAACAGAAAUUGUCAUAGCAAGUGGGUCAUAGCAAGUACAUGAGAGGCUUGUGGCUGUUGUGGAGUGUGAGGCAUCUACUGGACCGUACUUUGUCCAGUUGUUGACAGAGGUAGUGGAGAAACUAAAAUUGGACAUGAGCAAGUGCAUUGGUAAUGCCACAGACAGAGUUGCCAAUAUCCAAGGCCAAUAUAAAGGUUUCUCUGCUCUGUUGUCCUCAAAGUCCCCCAAUCAAGUACAUGUGGUGCUAUGCACAUAUUCUGAAUCUGGUCUUGGCUGACAAAACAGAAAUGUCAAAGCAAGUGGGUCACUCUUCUAUCUUCUUCAUGACAUUACUGUGUUUCUUUGUGAGUCCUACCAGAGGAUGAAAGUCUGGGAAAAGGAGAGCCAGGACACAUGACACAGGCGCCUCUCUCCAAUUGAACAAACACGCUGGCAGGCUAAUUGAAGAAGGUCUUUGGAUUCUUUGGCAACCCAGACCAGGGGCUCGAUGUGGUCAUGCUCUUCACACUGUCGGUCCUACCAGGACAGGCAACCAUGAAGACCAGUGCACGAGUCAAGGCAAACGAAUUUACUGAGGCUCUGCUCAGGUAUGAAACAAUACUGACAGCUCAAGUCUUUCUCUGGGUUUUUGAGAAGAUGUUGCCUCCCUCUAAAUACUUGCAGUCAAGUGGAUUGGACAUCCUCUCUACCCAUCGAAUGGUUGUGGCUACACAAGAAGAACUGAAGGGUAUGUCAAGAGACUUUGAAAGCAUUAACGUAGAUGCAGACAGAUUUGUUCAGUGGGCAAAUAACAAGUUAAGAACAAGUUAUAGGAACAGGACGAGGAGACAGGGCUCGAGAUGGAGGCCACUCUGGCACAGAAAAGGGCAAGAAAAAAGAAAAAUAUGCCUGGAGAGAUGUCUCAUCAUGAGAUGGUGAAAGAUGAUUCAGACAGAGCCUAUGAAAUUGAAGUCCACAAUCAAAUCAUGGACAAAGUUACUAAUAGUAUCCACAGACACUUUCUUACUCAUGGCACACUAUAUGCUGACCGAGCUCUUCUGGACCCCAGAAACUUCUCCCAAGUUAGUGCUAGAGAUCUGCCUCAGACAGCGCUUCAAGAGCCAAGCAAAUGUUUGCUUAAAUUUGACGGCAGGGCAACAGUUGCCAAUUUGCAGUGUGAGCUGUUCCUCAGCUCACACUGCAAAUGUGAGAUGUACAGUAGAAGACACUCAAAACGUCAGCAUUGGAGGAAUACAGGACCAGGACACUGGAGGCUGAACCUGAUGGAAAAGAAGAUGAGGUUUAAGUUUUUACUAAAAGCUGUUCAUCUUGCAAAGAGUAUGCAUGUUGUUACCAGAUACUGAAACAGUGCAACUCGAUGACUGAUGCAUACCAUAUCCUCGGCCUUGGCUACAAGUUUCUACUCACCCUGUCAGUCACCCAAGUAUUCUGUGAGUGGAGAUUCUCUACCUUGAAGUAUAUUAAAAGCAGACACAGGAGCAAACUCUCACAAGAAAAUCAAGAGACUUUCAUGAAAUGCAUGAAAUGGCCUUGGAUACUGACAUUGAGAUUGAUGUUGCAAACAGUAAGCUGCUGAGAAAACUGCUCAUCCAAUAAGCUUGCCCUUUUUCAAUGCCACCCAUGUCUUCAUCUCCACCUCCUUUCUCCACCCUGCAGUAAGGAUACAGACGCUACCCUCAGUGCCCCUCUUUCCAUCAUCCCCACUUCCUUUUUCCAACCUGAAGUAAGGAUAUGUUACCCCACCUUUUUUUUUUUUUUAAUUUUAUUUAUUGCUCAUAGACACCAAUACCCUAGCACUAGUACAAAGGCCUACAAUGCCUGUUGUUUAUUUAAAUUUUAUUUAUUGAUCAUAGACCAACAAUACCCAAGAGUAACUGUAUCAUAACAGAAGUAGAAAUGAGUACAGUAGAUGUUUGCACUUAUUUAUUGUUCAUGGACCAGCAAUACCCAAGAACAGUUGUCUGUACAUCAGCAGCAGGCCAACAAUGUACAGUACUUAAUUUUUGUUAAAUUUUAGAUAUUAAUUAAAAUUUGUUUGUUUAUUUAAAUAUUAUUUAUUGUGUAACUGCACUUUAGAAGAAGGACAAAUGUGUUCAGUCAGUACCUGAUGUUUGUAAUUAUUUAUUCUUUAUAGAGAGUAACCCUGAAGUCCUUCAGGUUUAAAACUUAACAUGGUGAUGGCAUUAUCUGACUCAUUUCCUGUGUUGAAAUAGAUUAUACAGCCUGUUCAAAUAUAGAUAUUCAUCAUGACUGCACAAUAUAGUAGCCAGAAUCUAUCAGGGUAUCUUCACAGUGCUGGCCUGCUGGUGACAAACCUUUCACUUGCUCUUAAAAUAGCUUUGUAUUACUGUUACUGUAGCCUGGAGUAUCCACCCAUUAUGCUUAUAAAAGGUAGUAUUAAGGGCUAGUGUGUUUGUAUGUGCGUCAAUGGGGCGGGGGUGGUGGAGUAUCCGCAGCUGGUUGUGGUGGGCUUGUCUGGGAAAAAAGUCCAGGGCCAUUUUUUAGUCCUGGUCCGUCCCUGGCAUUUAGACACAACAUACAGGAGCAGAUUUAUAUCUGGACUCAUUUCCUUUCCCUCCUAUCCUAAAACAGAGAUAAAUUGUUUUCACCCAACCCUCACAAGCAGUGACAAGCCCCCUUUAUUAUAUUACCACAAAUGUUCAAUAUGGAAUCCUGUUGUAACCAUUUUAGAGAUAUAUUUGUGUGCAUACUGUAUGCUAAUUUCAUCUUUUUCUUAGAUGAUAGUUUUCACCCUAUGAACCUCAUGAAAUAAAGAAAACAAAGCACCUCUGUCUGCCAAAUGUGAACAAAUUUGACUGGUGUUUUUUAUCAGACAAGAGUCACCUUGAGGCUUUGUAGUCAAAUCACAGCAGCUCUUUUCCUCA